GCCUGGAUAGCUCAGUUGGUUAGAACGUCAUGCUGAUAACACCAAGGCUGCAGGUUCGAUCCCCGUAUGGGUCA